GGAACUCGAAGAUCUGGAGCGGAAGAAUCGCGCCGGGGAAUAGGACCAAUGGAAGAGGGAAUAGCGGUAGUUCCACCACAUUGUCAGGUCUCGGCUUGCUUGUGUGGCUCUUCUCGUCGGAAGAGGACGAAGAGGAGGCAGAGCAUAUGAAUGACCUCGUCGUGUUCCUGCCGCUGAAACGGCGAUGCUUCGGCUGCGGGUAGCAGUGUAGGAUCGACGGUGGAGGAGAAUUGGAGGGAAAAUUCAGAUUAGGGAUUAGAGAAGUGAGGGAAAGAUUGGGGUUUAAGCAUGGUUGGUGAGUGGAAAUGAGCUGCAGUAGAGCCAUUAGAGCAAUAGCAGAAGGAAGCGGUGGAAUGAGAUAAAAGUUGCCGGCUAAUCGGACUGAAGCAGAAGGAAAUGAGCCACCGUGGUCAUUGCUUUUACGUAGCGGUG
rnacentral:lncRNA from 1 species